rnacentral:rRNA from 1 species
GCUCCAAUAGCGUAUAUUUAAGUUGUUGCAGUUAAAAAGCUCGUAGUUGGAUUUCUGGCAGGACUCUAAUGUCCGCUCGUUGCGUGUGCAUAUGAGUCCUGCCAUCCUUCUGUUAACUGUUCUGGUAUUCGUUUACUGGUUCAGAGCCAGAUAUUUUACCUUGAGAAAAUUAGAGUGUUUCAGGCAGGCUUGCGCUUGAA